UGGGGAAUAUUGCACAAUGGAGGGAACUCUGACGCAGCGACGCCGCGUGAACGAAGAAGGCUUUCGAGUCGUAAAGUUCUUUUAUAUGGGAAGAUAAUGACGGUACCAUAAGAAAAAGCCCCGGCUAACUACGUGCCAGCAGCCGCGGUAAUACGUAGGGGGCUAGCGUUGUCCGGAAUCACUGGGCGUAAAGGGUUCGCAGGCGGAAAUGCAAGUCAGGUGUAAAAGGCAGUAGCUUAACUACUGUAAGCAUUUGAAACUGCAUAUCUUGAGAAGAGUAGAGGUAAGUGGAAUUUUUAGUGUAGCGGUGGAAUGCGUAGAUAUUAAAAAGAAUACCAGUGGCGAAGGGGACUUACUGGGCUCAUUCUGAAGCUGAGGAACGAAAGCGUGGGUAGCAAACAGG
rnacentral:rRNA from 1 species